UACGUAGGGACCGAGCGUUGUCCGGAUUCAUUGGGCGUAAAGAGCUCGUAGGCGGCCACUCAAGUCGAAUGUGAAACCUCGAGGCUUAACCUCGAGCCUGCAUUCGAUACUGGGCGGCUAGAGUCUGGUAGGGGGAUCUGGAAUUCCUGGUGUAGCGGUGGAAUGCGCAGAUAUCAGGAGGAACACCGGUGGCGAAGGCGGGAUCCUGGGCCAGUACUGACGCUGAGGAGCGAAAGCGCGGGGAGCAAACAGG
rnacentral:rRNA from 1 species